rnacentral:misc_RNA from 1 species
UUGGUGAGCGCGUCUUGUUACG